GUGCCAGCGCGCCGCGGUAAUCCGGAGGGUCCAAGCGUUGUCCGGAAUCACUGGGCGUAAAGGGUGUGCAGGUGGGGCAGCAAGUCAGAGGUGAAAGCCCGCGGCUUAACCGCGGACGUGCCUUUGAAACUGCUGCUCUUGAGUCCCGGAGAGGUUGCCGGAAUUCGUGGUGUAGCGGUGAAAUGCGUAGAUAUCACGAGGAACACCAGAGGCGAAAGCGGGCAACUGGACGGGUACUGACACUGAGGCACGAAAGCCAGGGUCUCCAACCGGAUUAGAAACCCCUGUAGUCC
rnacentral:rRNA from 1 species